CUCAAUAAUCAAUGUAACAAAAGUUUGUAUUACAAGUCAAUAUAACUUAGGAAGGAGAAACUCCAAUUCUUAUUAUAGAUUAACCAAAAAAACCAAAGAAACUAAUGUGUAAGUUUUGUCCAACAACUUUCAAGGGAGAAAAAGUUUUGUGGUAACUCAAAAGACCAUCUAUUAGCACUCACUUUGCAAAGUGUUUCUUGAAGUGCAUUUAUUGCAUUUUCCCAUGACCAAGAAAGAUCAUUAUCCCAAGCAAUAGUAAUGGUAAGCACUGAUCCUCCUUCAAGCUCAUUGAACUCAACCUGUCAUUUUUUUGGCUUGGUAUCUAUACCUGCUAAUGCUAUAAAUACUAACACAAAAAUGGAAUAGAAAUUAGUUUUUGAAAAUAAAACAAUUUAUGCACCUGAGGUAUCACAAAGUAGAAAGAACUAAAAGCCCGCCACUCUGAUGACACCUUAGCUUCUGAAUUGAAACGGAUAGCGCCAUAUGCACGGACUAAAGGGCACCUCUCAGAAACUAUAUUGAGUUGUAAACCAAAUACCUAUAAACUAAUUUGCAUUUAAGUUAAAGGCAUGACCUAACAUAACAUACAUUAUGACCUGAAAACCCCCAAGGAGAAAAGGCAUAACAAAUAAUGGUUCAAAUAAUACCAUAUGUAAUCAUCAUUAAACAGUAUAAGGGAAGAAACCACAGAAGUUGCAGAAAGUAGUUGACUGAGAUGAUUUAAUUUGAAUGUGUGCAAAGUAAAAAUAGAAAGUAAUUACAGUGCAACUGAUAAAAAAUCUAGAAGAAUCAAC
rnacentral:sRNA from 1 species